ensembl:lncRNA
GAAGAAAAAUGUGCAAUGAUAUGAUGAUCAAGAAACAGUGGAUGUCUACAUCCUUCCCUGACUACUGCAUCAGAAUUAAACAUAAACAUUUCCCUGCUUGCUAUUCAUUGCUGAUGGCAGUUAGCAGUACCUCUGGAUCAAGUCAGAAUAUGAGGACAAGAACUGUGACACUUGACAGCAGAGAUACUGACUAAACAACCAACCUGAUUGUGGAUCUUCAUUGUUACCUUACCACAGUGACUUAGGUGAAAGACAGCCACCAGAGACAGCUCUGGAGAAGAUGUGGGCCAAAUGUAGACUUUCUGAGAAGUUUAAACUCAGGCUGGGAAGGACACAGGGCCCAGCGCUCUGUAAUAAGAAGCCAAGCCUGUUGCUGAAAAAGUCAUGAAAGAGUAGAGGAAGAAAGAGGAAGAAAAUACUAUGGACUUAGAGAAGAAUUCAGAGGAAAAGUAAAGAUAGACACAGAAAAAGAAAGCCAGAGACUCAGGAGAUUGGAGGCUUCAUCUGUAUUCAUCAUGGUGUGACAUAAACCAGAGGAGCCACACCUUAAGACAGAAGAGCUCCAGUCUUCACCUUCACUUUGGACAUCAUCUCCCGGCUUCAGGCAGAUUCUUCAGCUUCCAUUGCAGCUCCAACACCCUCCUGAUAUGGACUCCCAUGAGACACUGCAGUGAGCUCCAGACCUUUGACUGGAAGCUUCAGACUCUAGUGUACAAACAAACCCUCUGCACUCUUCCACAUAUGACUCUGUGGUAGGCCACUGUAAGCCAAUCUUGUAAAUUCUUAUAUACUUGUGUAUCUUAUAUCUGUUUCUGUAAUAAACACUGACUGAUACAGAAAGUUCUUGCCUAUGUGUAUGUCUUCUAGUGUUUUAUUUAUUUUAUCUUGUAGCACAUUAAGUGUAUCUGUUUUUAAUAUUUAGAUCUUUGAUCCAUUUGAUUUUGGUUCAGUACAUGGACCUCAAUUCAAUCUUCUGCAUGAGGAUAGC